rnacentral:lncRNA from 1 species
UAAGUAAUGGGAUAAUUCUGGAUUGAAUAUUUUUAAAAAAUAACUUAAUAAUUCUCUUCAAACAAUGGAGUAAUAAAGUGAUGCUUUAGACUUCGCUAACCACUGUGCAAAGACCACCUCCACAACAGCUGAUCAUAGUUGCUUCCGAUCAAUGUGCAAUCGCCAUCGCCUCUAACCACUGCUGACGACGUGAAAAGGAGAAGUUAUACAUCAUCACCAUUGAAGAACUCGAAUCCUUUCACAGAGUGCACAAGGUCAUCAUCCACAAUAGAGCGUAUCCGCCUUUUUUUACUCAGUGUCGCAAUGCCGUCCGCCCUCCUCUCCGCCCCUCACUACCGCCAAAUCAUCGGCUUCCCGGUCAAGUGGCACUUGAGCUUCAUGCACAGCGUCCACCAUCCUGUCGCCGCCCCUACAUUGACAAUUGUUGCCUCGUCCACCAGAUUUUCAAGGGAGCGAUCUCCCUAGGUUGAUUCGCAAUGCUUCGGCAACCCAAUGCUCGUCUUUGCCGAUGUCCAAAUCGCCUCUAUUAUAGUGAACCAGCGAGGACUACGGUCUGGAGGAGGAUGGCUGUGGAUCUAGUGACGCUGGCGAUGAAGGAGACGAACCGUAGGGAAUUGAAGAGAGCGGGUUUGAGAAGCCAGUGAGGAAGCUCAAGCAAUGAGAUCUAGAUAUUGCAGGAGAUUAUGUUGCACAAAUGAGAUUUCCAAAUAUUUUUAAUUCUAUCUUAAAUAACAUCAAACAUCAAACAUGCGAUGAAAUACAAUCCUAAGGAUAUUUGGAGAAUUACUAAUCCUAUCUUAUUCUAUUCAAUCCCAAUCCAAAUUCAUAAGGUGGGAAAAUUAUUUGGUUAUUGUCGCGACCAAUUUUUUCGGGGUUUAAACCACCUAGGGUUUGGCUAAUGGAUUGUUAAGCCUAGACUUAACUCGGGCUCUCCCAAGCCCAUACCAAUUCACGACUUAGGUUCAAGUUUAUAACAUGCAAAUGAUUUUUUAAUUAGGAGUCGCCACUAAUCUAUUUUUUGGUGGAUCGAUUAGAAACCCAAGUAAAGUAACGGGAGAUUCACUUUACUCCUACGAACCAGAGACUAUGGGUACGGGGACUUGAUUACACUAGAUUCCUCUAAUGCCCUUUCGGUACCUUUCUUUUUAUUUUGAAAAAUGUUUGGCAAGCAGUUUUGAUUGAUUUUAAUUCAUUAACAUGUGAAGUGAUCAUGCAGGUGCGCAAACCACCAAUUUAACACUCAAGAAAGCAAAUGAAUAAAUUGCAGGACUUAUCUCAUAGCAACGAAAGCAUCUGCGUUGUUAGUUUAGAAUUCACAUCAGCAGUCCUAAAUAUGAUUUCUAAUUAACACGCAAUUUUUGUUUUGUUUUCACUUAAUUAAUGAAAAUCAUGCGAUAUGCAAUGCAUGCCACUAAUUUAACAUGAAAUGAUAUGACAUGGCAACAUGACUUAGUUAUAUGACCUAAGCAAUAUGACAUAACUAAGCAUGUAGUCUAUCCUAAGCAUGAGAUGAUUUAUUCUAAAUAAUAAUUUUUUUUGUAUUUUCUAUGAGAUUCAAAAUUAAAGAAAUGCAACAUUUAAAUAUGCAAUCUAAAUUAAUCUAAUGACCUAAUUCUAAUGACGGGCAAUUUCUAAUUAAAUGCAUCUAACAAAAAUCACUAAAUGACGUGCAUUGUAUGAAACUAAUUCUAUAUGACGUGCACAUGAUUUUUAUUUUCCUAAUAAGCAUGCAAUCUAUUUAGGAGAAAUUAUUUAAACCUAUAAUAUGCAAUCUUAACAUGCAAUGACGUACAAAAUAUGCCAUAAUUCUACAUGACAUGCAAAUGCAAUUUUUUUGUAUUUUCGGGAUAAACAAAACAAUUAAGAGAUAAACAUCAAACCAUCCAUGAUCGUCAAAAUGCUAUCCACCAUUCGAAUUGAAAUUCAAACUUAUUUAUUUCGCUAAUAAAAUCGAUAAAUUGAUCUUAAGCCUUAAAGAUCAAGAUAUCAAUUUUACUCCCGCGUGGUUAAUUAUUCCAUCUAAAGCCUUAUAGAUGGAAUAAAAAAUCCGUGUGCGGUUGCGAAUUAGGAACAAAUCCUAAUAGAUUUUACCUGUUACUUGAGGAGAUCUAAUAUGCAGCAAGUAGGAAAUAAAAUAUUCAAAUUAUUUUGGAUAAGAAAUCUUACCUAAUUUGAAUAUUGUACGUAUAUUGCUUCCCAAUUCGAAUUUGUCGGGGGCUCGCAAAUGGUGAUUCACGUAGCACGGUUAUGACGAUGGUUCAGCCAAGUAUCUCGCCGGAAUGAGAACUCAUGGCAACGAGGAGCAAUUGAACUGGCUGAGCUUGGCAAUGGACUUCUUCUCGCAUGCAGGAAUCGUGUGUCUUGCCAGUCGAAGUCCUCAGUUGCCACUUCCUUUCCGAUUGUUUUUUAUUUCUUGGACUCACGGCUGUUGGCUUUCUCUGACAAUAUUAUCGACUUGGGUUAGCAAGAUUUUAUGGAAAAAGACAAAACCCACCUCUUAAGACUCAUGGCCUUCAAUCCUCAUCUUUGGAUGAAUCGUUUUCUCGAUGACGGAGAUAAUAAGAAGGGAUCAUAAAAAAAACCAGCAAAGAUGGCAGCUCUGGUGUCUUGCUAGAGAAUCUCCAACGAUCAGAUCGGCAACAUAGGGAUGCCGUCAAUGGGCCACGACACACAACAGAUCGAUGUGUGGUCUCAGAGCAGUAGCGGGAGUAGCAACGGAGUUGUGGCGAAGAUCGAGAGGGAGCUAUGUCUUUGUGGGUGCAAUGAACUUCAUGACCAGCAACGCAACGGACUCAUCAGAACAGGCUAGAAAUCAACGCAGCGAGUUGUCUCUGGAACAAAGAGUGUGGCGUCGGAGCAUGAGACCCGCGGGAGGAGCAUCGGUCGUCAGAAGUAAAGCGCCGCAAACUGAUGAAAGCAAGGUCACGGCCAAGACGGGGCUCAACCGCGACGCGCUCUUCUCCGUCUCUAUCUCUCUUAAAAGUGCCGUAUAUUCAAUGUCCUCCUUUUUCAGAAUUGAGGCCGCAUGUAUCAAUUGUGUG